AAGUACCCCGAGGAAAAGAAAUCAACCGAGAUUCCGAAAGUAGCGGCGAGCGAAAUUGGACUAGCCCUUAAGCUUUACACGCGUUAGACGAACGGUCUGGAAAGUCCGACGAUACAGGGUGAUAGUCCCGUAGUUGACGACGUGUGUUCAGUGAAAUCGAGUAGGGCGGGACACGUGAUAUCCUGUCUGAAUAUGGGGGGACCAUCCUCCAAGGCUAAAUACUACUGACUGACCGAUAGUGAACCAGUACCGUGAGGGAAAGGCGAAAAGAACCCCUGUGAGGGGAGUGAAAUAGAACCUGAAACCGUGUACGUACAAGCAGUAGGAGCAGGCUUUGUCCUGUGACUGCGUACCUUUUGUAUAAUGGGUCAGCGACUUAUAUUCAGUGGCAAGGUUAACCAUCUAGGGGAGCCGUAGGGAAACCGAGUCUUAACUGGGCGUUCAGUCUCUGGAUAUAGACCCGAAACCAGGUGAUCUAGCCAUGGGCAGGUUGAAGGUUGAGUAACAUCAACUGGAGGACCGAACCGACUAAUGUUGAAAAAUUAGCGGAUGACUUGUGGCUAGGGGUGAAAGGCCAAUCAAACCUGGAGAUAGCUGGUUCUCCCCGAAAGCUAUUUAGGUAGCGCCUCGGACGAAUACUACUGGGGGUAGAGCACUGUUAAGGCUAGGGGGUCAUCCCGACUUACCAACCCUUUGCAAACUCCGAAUACCAGUAAGUACUAUCCGGGAGACACACGGCGGGUGCUAACGUCCGUCGUGGAGAGGGAAACAACCCAGACCGCCAGCUAAGGUCCCAAAUUACUACUAAGUGGGAAACGAUGUGGGAAGGCUCAGACAGCCAGGAUGUUGGCUUAGAAGCAGCCAUCAUUUAAAGAAAGCGUAAUAGCUCACUGGUCGAGUCGGCCUGCGCGGAAGAUGUAACGGGGCUAAGUAGUAAACCGAAGCUGCGGCAAUAUACUUUUGUAUAUUGGGUAGGGGAGCGUUCUGUAAGCGGUUGAAGGUGUGUGGUAACGCAUGCUGGACGUAUCAGAAGUGCGAAUGCUGACAUGAGUAACGAUAAAGGGGGUGAAAAACCUCCUCGCCGGAAGACCAAGGGUUCCUGUCCAACGUUAAUCGGGGCAGGGUAAGUCGACCCCUAAGGCGAGGCCGAAAGGCGUAGUCGAUGGGAAACGGGUUAAUAUUCCCGUACUUCUUACAAUUGCGAUGGGGGGACGGAGAAGGCUAGGUGGGCCUGGCGACGGUUGUCCAGGU
rnacentral:rRNA from 1 species